UGGCUCAGUUGGUAGAGCAUGGUGUUUGCAACGCCAGGGUUGUGGGUUCGAUUCCCGG
rnacentral:tRNA from 1 species